UGUGCUGGGACUGUGGGACGCAGAAGCAAUGGUAAGGCAUGGUUGCCAUCCUGGAAGUUCACACUGCCAGCAGACACAGCAAACCUGUAUAGCGUGCGAGACCGAAACCUGGGAGGUCCACAUCUAUGUGUUCUGGGCCAUGCACGGGUCCUCCUUGCCAUCAAUACCCUCAGAACGACACGUUUUCCCAACCGAUCAAAAAGUGAACACUGUUCAACAACUCACUAAGUGUCAUUAGGACCCAGGAUUAACUGUCUGUCUACACAGAAACCUGGCAGAAACCUCUGGCUGCGGUUUCCUUUGUGAUCCUGCAUUAGCUCUGAGCUUCAAAUAUGCAUGACAAACGCAAAGCUUAAAAAUAAAAUAGGAGACCAACUUUCACGCUGUGUCUAUAGUGCACCAGUGAGAAAACGAAUAAAAUCCCGACCCCUUACUGCUCUCCAGGCAUCAAUCAUUACAUUCCAUGUGAGUGGGCGAGUGUCUAAUUAACCACUCAUCGAUCUCAAAGUUUUAUAAGUGCUGCCGCUCCCCUCAGGCUGGAGUUCUUCCUUCUGCCUGCGUUCGGCUAUUUGCUACCUUGGCAAUCGGUGCCCUGGUGGAACUUGUAAUGAAGGGAACAAACUCCACACGGGUCCCCUUUAGCCAAGCCACCGCCGUCUGCCUCCUUACUGUGCCUGCUUCCUUUGAUCCACCUUGCUGGGACCAUUCCUUUGGCCUCCAUUCCACCCACCACUCCUACGCCCCAAGAACCUCAGCUCACACACUUGCAGCCCAACGCUUUUCUUACUUCAUAAUAUUUUUGGAGACAUAGUUAUCAUAAGACUGAUUCCAAUUAUAACAACCUCCUGCCACUCUCGCCAUUUUUACACAAGCUGGGCCCCUGUGAAGAACACCGUGCUGUCUGGCAUUGCUGCACUCGCACGUAUCUAUGCAGCAACACCUUUUGGGGUAUGUCUGCGCAGGUCCUGCCGUGGGCUGCAGCGGAGAGGGCUCACGGGCUCUACAAGAGAAGGCUUCCUGAUUUUUCUGGCUGACACUAAUAGCACUAUUCAGAACUGUCUAUCUCUAAAUGAUUUCACAUUCAUUGUACUAGGUCAUCUCUAUAAUGUGUCUGAAAGGCAUUU